CUCUUAUUCAGAGUGGCUGAGGGAACUGGCCCUAUGACGCCCAGCAACCGGCAAUCGCUAAGGUGCUAAAUCCAGCAGCGUUUUCAUGCUGAAAGAUGAGAG
rnacentral:ncRNA from 2 species